GAUUACUCCUACGGGAGGCAGCAGUGGGGAAUUUUGGACAAUGGGCGAAAGCCUGAUCCAGCCAUGCCGCGUGCAGGAUGAAGGCCUUCGGGUUGUAAACUGCUUUUGUACGGAACGAAAAGACUCUUUCUAAUAAAGAGGGUCCAUGACGGUCCCGUAAGAAUAAGCACCGGCUAACUACGUGCCAGCAGCCGCGGUAAUAAU
rnacentral:rRNA from 1 species